rnacentral:rRNA from 1 species
GUGGGGAAUCUUCCGCAAUGGACGAAAGUCUGACGGAGCGACGCCGCGUGAGUGAAGAAGGCCUUCGGGUCGUAAAGCUCUGUCAUCAGGGACGAACGGCCGGUGGAGUGGAAAGCCACCGGAUUGACGGUACCUGAGAAGGAAGCCACGGCUAACUACGUGCCAGCAGCCGCGGUAAUACGUAGGUGGCAAGCGUUGUCCGGAAUUAUUGGGCGUAAAGCGCGCGCAGGUGGGAUCUUAAGUCCAUUUUGAAAGUUCGGAGCUCAACUCCGUGAUGGGAUGGAAACUGGGAUUCUUGAGUACCGGAGAGGAAAGCGGAAUUCCCCGUGUAGCGGUGAAAUGCGUAGAUAUGGGGAGGAACACCAGUGGCGAAGGCGGCUUUCUGGACUGUGUCUGACGCUGAGAUGCGAAAGCCAGGGUAGCGAACGGGAUUAGAUACCCGAGUAGUCC